rnacentral:rRNA from 1 species
GACAGAGGGUGCAAACGUUUGUUCGGAAUUACUGGGCGUAAAGCGUGUGUAGGCGGCUUUGUAAGUCGGAUGUGAAAGCCCCGGGCUCAACCCGGGAAGUGCACUCGAUACUGCGAAGCUUGAGUACUGGAGAGGUUGGUGGAAUUCUCGGUGUAGAGGUGAAAUUCGUAGAUAUCGAGAGGAACACCGGUGGCGAAGGCGGCCAACUGGACAGAUACUGACGCUGAGACACGAAAGCGUGGGGAGCAAACAGG